AUGGGGUCAAGCUACGAAGGGUGCAGGGUGGAUGUCUUGGCAUCGAGAGGCGAUGAAGGACGCGGUAGCCUGCGAAAAGCUCCGGGAAGCCGGCAAACGGGCAUUGAUCCGGAGAUCUCCCAAUGGGGAAACCCGGCCGGGGUAGCACCCGGCCACCCGCCGCUGAAUGCAUAGGCGGCGAGGAGCGAACGCGGCGAACUGAAACAUCUAAGUAGCCGCAGGAAAAGAAAGAGACAUCGAUUCCGUCAGUAGCGGCGAGCGAAAGCGGAAAGAGCCCAAACCGGGCUUCGGCCCGGGGUUGCGGAAGCAGAGAGGGGUUACAAAACCGGCUCUAGCCGAACGGCAUGGGAAGGCCGACCAAAGCGGGUGAUAGUCCCGUAGGCGAAAGGGCCAGGUCCCCGUUACCAUCUGCUCUCCAGAGUAGCACGGAGCUCGUGGAACUCCGUGUGAAUCCGGGCGGCCCACCGCCCAAGGCUAAAUACUCCUCGAUGACCGAUAGCGCACCAGUAGGGCGAUUGAACGAUGAAAAGCACAGCGACAAGCUGAGUGAAAAGCACCUGAAACCCUGCACUUACAAGCGGUCGGAGCCCUAUGGCCCCUUCGGGGGCAAGGGGUGACGGCGUACCUUUUGCAUAAUGGACCGGCGAGUGAACGUCAGCGGCGAGGCUAAGCUGCGUCAGCAGCGGAGCCGUAGCGAAAGCGAGUCUGAAACGGGCGACAGAGUCGUUGGCGUUCGACCCGAAACCACGUGAUCUACCCGUGGCCAGCGUGAACACUCCGUAAAAGGAGUGGGAGGCGCGAAGCCGUGAACGUUGAAAAGUUCUGGCAUGAGCUGCGGGGAGGAGUGAAAGUCUAAUCAAACGUGGAGAUAUCUGGUUCUCUUCGAAAUGCCUUUUGGGGCAGCCUCGAGCCACUACUCUUGCGGGGUAGAGCUACUGAAAGGGGACGUGGGGCUACCCGCCUACACGCUCCUAUCAAACUCCGAAUACGCAAGAGACUAUCUCGGGAGUGAGUCCGCGGGGGAUAAUCUUCGCGGUCAAGAGGGAAACAACCCAGAUCGUCUGCUAAGGUCCCGAAACAUCGCUCAGUUCGGUAGGAAGUUAUUCUGCGGAGACAGCCAGGAUGUUGGCUUAGAAGCAGCCACCAUUUAAAAAGUGCGUAAUAGCUUACUGGUCGAGCAGGAUAGCGCCGUAAAUGAUCGGGAAUAAGCGAUGUACCGAAGCAGCGGGAACGCGCAAGCGUUCGGUAGAAGAGCGUUGCAUGCCGCGUGGAAGGCGUACCGCAAGGAGCGCUGGAGCGCAUGCAAGUGAGAAUGCCGGUAUGAGUAACGAUAAGGCAGGUGAAAAUCCUGCCCGCCGAAAGCCUAAGGUUUCCUGGGGAAGGUAAAUCCGCCCAGGGUUAGCCGGAGCCUAAGACGAGGCCGAAAGGCGUAGUCGAUGGACAGCAGGUUAAUAUUCCUGCGCUGGCUGUUGCGGUUGAAGUGCGCGUGACGCUCCUGCAAGGUCGAUCCCCCGGUCAGAUGUGGGGGUCGGGCCCGGCGCAAGCCGGGGCCGCGAGGCCGAUUGGUUGCCGAAGUCGGCGGAGGAGGAGCCGAGAAAAACCGCGCAUGGACAAGACAGCCAUCCGUACUAAAACUGACACAGGUAGGCGAGGAGAAUAUCCUCAGGCGCUCGAGAGAACUGCGGUUAAGGAACUAGGCAAACUGACCCCGUAACUUCGGGAUAAGGGGUCCCGUCUCCCUUCGGGGAGCGGGCGCAGGAAGUGGCCCGGGCGACUGUUUAUCAAAAACACAGCUCUGUGCAAACUCGCAAGAGGAUGUAUACAGAGUGACGCCUGCUCGGUGCCGGAAUGUUAAGGAAGCCGGUCAGGGGGUUCGCCCCCGAAGCUGGCGACCGAAGCACCGGUAAACGGCGGCCGUAACUAUGACGGUCCUAAGGUAGCGAAGUUCCUUGUCGGGUAAGUUCCGACGCGCAUGAACGGCGUAACGACUUGGGCGCUGUCUCAACCGCAGACUCGGUGAAAUUGAAGUGGCGGUGAAGAUACCGUCUACCCGCAGCAAGACGGAAAGACCCCGUGGACCUUUACUGCAGCCUGGUACUGACGCCGGGUGGAAACUGCGUAGGAUAGGUGGGAGGCGUCGAUCCCUUGGUUUCGGCCAAGGGGGAGCCAGCGGUGAAAUACCACCCUGUUUGCAUUCGUCGUCUCACCCCAGUCCCUGAAUCGGGAUGGGGAACCGUGCUAGGUGGGCAGUUUGACUGGGGCGGUCUCCUCCCAAAGAGUAACGGAGGAGUGCAAAGGCAGGCUCAGUCCGGUUGGCAAUCGGACGUGGAGUGCAUAGGCAGAAGCCUGCUUGACUGUGAGUGCUACGGCACGAGCAGAGGUGAAAGCCGGCCUAAGUGAUCCUGUGGUAGCGUGUGGAAGCGCCAUAGCUCAACGGAUAAAAGGUACCCCGGGGAUAACAGGCUGAUCUCCCCCGAGCGUCCAUAGCGGCGGGGAGGUUUGGCACCUCGAUGUCGGCCCGUCACAUCCUGGGGCUGAAGGCGGUCCCAAGGGUUUGGCUGUUCGCCAAUUAAAGUGGCACGCGAGCUGGGUUCAGACCGGCGUGAGCCAGGUCGGUCCCUAUCUGCUGUGGGCGCAGGAACCUUGACGGCACCUCUUCCAUAGUACGAGAGGAUUUGGAAGGACGGACCCCUGGUGUACCAGUUGUCCCGCUUGGGGCACGGCUGGGUAGCUAUGUCCGGAAAGGAUAAACGCUGAAAGCAUCUAAGCGUGAAGCCUAUGCCAAGACAAGGGUUCCAUGGGAGCUUGCUCCCGAGAGACCCCGGGCAGACCACCCGGUUGAUAGGCCGCAGCUGUAAGAGUCGAGAGACUUUCAGGCCAGCGGUACUAACGGUCGAUCGCUUGAUC
rnacentral:rRNA from 1 species